rnacentral:rRNA from 1 species
UACAGAGGGUGCAAGCGUUGUUCGGAAUUAUUGGGCGUAAAGCGCGUGUAGGCGGCUUUGCAAGUCAGGUGUGAAAUCCCUCGGCUCAACCGAGGAAGGGCGCCUGAAACUGCAGAGCUUGAGUACCGGAGAGGAUGGUGGAAUUCCCCAAGUAGAGGUGAAAAUUCGUAGAUAUGGGGAGGAACACCGGUGGCGAAGGCGACCAUCUGGGACGGAUACUGACGCUGAGACGCGAAAGCGUGGGUAGCAAACGAGG